AUUCCAAGGAAAACCAUCAUGGAAAAUGCUGGAAAGGAGGAAUGCGCAGCAGAGAGCUGAAGCCUAAAAGAUUAGCUUAUUUCCUUCCCAGCUGCAGGGCAAUCAAAGGGCAUUGUCAGGAACCCUGGAAAAGUAAACAGAGCUGGGCUCUGCCCCUUAGCCUGUGUGGACUAGUGAAAGCUGUCUUACCUUUCUGAGCCUCAGGUUCCCAUCUGUAAAGUGGAAUAGUAACUUGCAUUGGUGUUAUCAGGGAUGAACGUAACUUACACAAAGUGUCUACCACAUAGAAAGCUUUCAGUAUAUGACAGCUAUAAUAUUACUCUAUAAUUAUGAGUUGUGUUCUUUCUAGGACCCUGUUUUAGUCAGGGUUCUCCACAGGGACAGAACCAAUAGGAUAUAUGUAUAUACAAAAGGGAGUUUAUAGAGAGAAUUGGUUCAUACAAUUACAAGGCAAAGUCCCAAGACAGGCCGUCUGCGAGCUGGGGAAAGAGAGAAGCCCAUAGCAUAGCUCAUUCCAAGACCAAAAACCUCAAACCAGAAAAGCUGACAGCGCAGCCCUCAGUAUGAGGCCAAAGGCCCAAAAGUCCCAGGAAGGCCCCUGGUGCAAGUCCCAGAAUCCAAAGGCUGAAGAACCUGGAGUCUGAUGUCCAAGGGCAGGAGGAGAGGAAGCAAGGGUCUCGUUUGGGAAGAGACAGAGAAAGUAAGAAGACUCAGCAAGCUGCUUAUCCCUUCUUCUAUCUGCUUUGCUCUAUCUGUGUUAGCAGCCAAUUGGAUGGUGCCCACGCCCUUGGAGGGUGGGUCUUCCUCUACCCUUCCACUGACUCAAAUAUCUGGCAAUACCUUUCAAGAUACACCCAGAAACAGUGCCUCACCAGCCAUCUAGUCAUCCCUCAAUCCAGUCAAGUUGACAUCUGUGUUAACUAUCAGUGACCCAUAGCACUGACCUUAUAUAUAUGGCAGAUGAGGCUUGCUUUUGUGGAAGGAUUCAAAAACAUACUGUCUUCCUCUCAAGACCUAAAAUAAUCCGCUCCUGUUUAUUCUAAUUUUCCUUCCCACAAGCCUAUCAGAAAAAGGUCUGAUACAAAUCCUGAGCAAUUUGGUGUGAAUGUAACAAUAAAUAGAAGCCACGCCUGCAAGAGCAGUGGCCACCGGGAGGGAGGCUGAAGGACGUUUCUAAAAGGGAAAAGUGAACCUGAAUGAGAGAGUGAGGGAAAGAGAGAAGAAACACGAACAAAUGCCACUUCUUGGAAUCUACAAGUUAGAAUUGGGAUCAUCAAUCUGGGAAAGCUCAAAUCAAUGAAACACCUUACAACUCAGUCUCAAUUUCAUAGAAAAGAAUGGGUUGAUUACUGUGAAAGUGACUUUCAUAAUCUAAGGUUUAAAAAUUCAGCAAAUAUUCAUUAGAGGCCUGCUCUAUACAUGACACAGUGCUAAGCACUUUGAGAGACACAGAGAAGAAUAAGGAAAGGUCCCUUCCCUCCAGGAGUUCACAGGAAAGAAAGGAUUAGAUCAGCAUACCACUAUGUAUAAUGCAGGAAGGAACAGGUAUGGUUGGAACAAUAGAGACCAUGAGAUACCGAGGAAAAAACAGCUGUCUUUUUAUUUUGAGGCCUGCGUGCCUUUCUCUCUACUCUUUCUGUCUCAUGCUAACCUAUGUAAACUUUUUUGUUUUGCUACAUACUGAUGAGAACUACAAUAAUUUUUUUUUGUCGCCAUUUUUUAUGUCAAAUGAUGUGCCAUAAUGUUUCAAUUAUGUCAUAUCAGUUAAUUCAUGUAAAUACUGCUAGAAAAGAAAAUGGGCUAAAAGAAUCUGAAGACUUGCUCAAAGUCACCCAGUUAAUCUGCAUGAGAGCCAGGAUUCAAAUCCAGGACUUUGGACUUUGGGAGGCUGAGGCAGGAAGAUGGCUU
rnacentral:lncRNA from 1 species